GCUGAUUUGAAGUUUCCAUGUUCUGCUUGCAGGAAUGAAUUGGCAAAAUAUACAAGCAAAUCACAAAGAGCAAUAGACAUCCUCUCGAAGGGAAAGCAUAUAAUCAAUAAUGAGUUUCGGCACCGAGUCAAUGUUUGAUUAUGUUACUUUAGGAAAAGAACGAAGACAUAUUAUUAAGAAUUUCUUCUUGUGCCAUCAUAGGUAGACACAAGUUCUCAUCAAGAAGAAGACAUGAAGAAGGAAGUUAAUGGCGGUGGAAGACUCAUCGAGAGAGAUGAUCGGGUUAGUUUCUUAAGCGCAAGAAUACCAUUCAGUUUUGUUGUGCGCGCUAGCUACAAUAAGAUAAAAAACAACACUGACGAGCAAGAAAAUGAGUGUGCUGAGGGGCAAUGACUUUCUCGCAGCUGACGCGCUCUUGCUUCUUGCUUUAAACUGGUCCUUUUUCAUUCUUGAUGUUUUCUUGCUAUAGUCCAACUUAGAAAUUGCAAAGGAGCUAUUGGGUGAUCUUCAAUCUGAUUAGUAUUCAAUACUUCUACUUUAGUUUGAUUAGAUUUCAUUGGUUGAAUAAUGGUAAUCCCAGUUUGUAUAAUUAUGUAUUUAUAAAGUUUGUUGUUGGAUCUUGUGAUGUUUUGGUGAUGAAAUAGUUAAUUUAUUGAUUAAUUGUAUCUCUAA